rnacentral:tRNA from 3 species
GGGCCGGUCGUCUAGCUUGGUUAGGAUACCGCCCUGACACGGCGGUGGUCUCCGGUUCGAGUCCGGACCGGCCCA